GCUUCUGAUGAUGAUUCAAAAUAAUAACUUUCGUUCUUCCGAGAUUAUUCAUGCGGAAACAAUUAUUGGAGACCUGAACUGAAGAAGC